rnacentral:rRNA from 1 species
AGAGUUUGAUCCUGGCUCAGGACGAACGCUGGCGGCGUGCUUAACACAUGCAAGUCGAGCGGAAAGGCCCUUCGGGGUACUCGAGCGGCGAACGGGUGAGUAACACGUGAGCAAUCUGCCCUUAGCUCUGGGAUAGCUCCGGGAAACCGGGAUUAAUACCAGAUACGACCACUUUAGACAUCUGCUGUGGUGGAAAGAAUUUCGGCUAGGGAUGAGCUCGCGGCCUAUCAGCUUGUUGGUGGGGUAACGGCCUACCAAGGCGACGACGGGUAGCCGGCCUGAGAGGGCGACCGGCCACACUGGGACUGAGACACGGCCCAGACUCCUACGGGAGGCAGCAGUGGGGAAUAUUGCGCAAUGGGCGAAAGCCUGACGCAGCGACGCCGCGUGGGGGAUGAAGGCCUUCGGGUUGUAAACCCCUUUCAGCAGGGACGAAGCGAAAGUGACGGUACCUGCAGAAGAAGCGCCGGCUAACUACGUGCCAGCAGCCGCGGUAACACGUAGGGCGCAAGCGUUGUCCGGAAUUAUUGGGCGUAAAGAGCUCGUAGGCGGUCUGUUGCGUCCGCUGUGAAAACUCGGGGCUUAACCCCGAGCCUGCAGUGGAUACGGGCAGACUAGAGGUAGGUAGGGGAGAAUGGAAUUCCCGGUGUAGCGGUGAAAUGCGCAGAUAUCGGGAGGAACACCGGUGGCGAAGGCGGUUCUCUGGGCCUUACCUGACGCUGAGGAGCGAAAGCGUGGGGAGCGAACAGGAUUAGAUACCCCGGUAGUCC